CAGCCGCCACGGGAAUACAGAGGGUGCGAGCGCUAAUCGGAUUUACUGGGCGUAAAGCGUGCGUAGGCGGCUUCUUAAGUCGGAUGUGAAAUCCCUGAGCUUAACUUAGGAAUUGCAUUCGAUACUGGGAAGCUAGAGUAUGGGAGAGGAUGGUAGAAUUCCAGGUGUAGCGGUGAAAUGCGUAGAGAUCUGGAGGAAUACCGAUGGCGAAGGCAGCCAUCUGGCCUAAUACUGACGCUGAGGUACGAAAGCAUGGGGAGCAAACAGGAUUAGAUACCCCCGUAGUCCCUGUCUCUUAUAC
rnacentral:rRNA from 1 species